GCGGGAGUAGCUCAACUUGGUUAGAGCGCCGCCCUGUCACGGCGGAGGUUGCGGGUUCAAAUCCCGUCUCUCGCG
rnacentral:tRNA from 1 species